UAGCAACCAAACAGUGCAACUAAGACUAGGGCCUCCAAUUCCAACUUCCCCCAAUGCCUUGUUACAAAUGCAGGCAAGUUCUGCCGAUUAUCAGAAACUUCUUUUUCCUAAUGAAGUAAUGUUCUGAUUAUAUUAAAUUUCACAGGCCAUACUUAAACAGGAUAGUGGAAGGAACUAUGACUAUUGUGUCUACGACUCGGACAUUUCCACUGGAUAUGGUGUUGAUGCACUCUUGUUCCUCUUGGCCAGUCA
rnacentral:lncRNA from 1 species